rnacentral:rRNA from 1 species
UAGGAGGCAGCAGUGGGGAAUAUUGGACAAUGGGGGCAACCCUGAUCCAGCCAUGCCGCGUGUGUGAAGAAGGCCUUCGGGUUGUAAAGCACUUUCAGUCGGGAGGAAGGCCUGGCGGUUAAUACCCGUCGGGAUUGACGUUACCGACAGAAGAAGCACCGGCUAACUCCGUGCCAGCGACCGCGGUAAU